rnacentral:rRNA from 1 species
GUGGGGAAUAUUGGACAAUGGGCGCAAGCCUGAUCCAGCCAUGCCGCGUGAGUGAUGAAGGCCUUCGGGUUGUAAAGCUCUUUUGGCGGGGACGAUGAUGACGGUACCCGCAGAAUAAGCCCCGGCAAACUUCGUGCCAGCAGCCGCGGUAAGACGAAGGGGGCAAGCGUUGUUCGGAAUUACUGGGCGUAAAGGGCGCGUAGGCGGUCCUUUUAGUCGGACGUGAAAGCCCUGGGCUCAACCUGGGAGGUGCGUUCGAUACUGGGGGACUUGAGAGUGGGAGAGGUUGGUGGAAUUCCCAGUGUAGAGGUGAAAUUCGUAGAUAUUGGGAAGAACACCGGUGGCGAAGGCGGCCAACUGGACCAUUUCUGACGCUGAGGCGCGAAAGCGUGGGGAGCAAACAGGAUUAGAAACCCGUGUAGUCC